rnacentral:tRNA from 1 species
AAGAAAGUUUAGGGGUUAAUAGGUUGGCUUGAAACCAAUUUUUGGGGGUUCGAUUCCUCCCUUUCUUG